UGGCCAUGGAAGGUGAGGAUACGAGGCCCUGACCGCUACUUAUACGCUCCGCUCUCCUCGCCCUUCUCCCCUCAAGUCCUCCCCCUCCAGACCCCGAUCCGCUCAGGACUGGGUAGUAUGUAUGGGAAUAUCACAUGCCAUUAUCUGGUAUCUGGGAAAGCUAUUUCCUUUAGUGGCUGUGAUGGUCAUCAUAUAUAUCAUCACAUCCUUGAAGCCUAGUAACACCUACCUCGCUUGGUUUUUCUUGCAUACCUGAUGGACUGUGUGCUACAACUGAAACCAUGGCACAGGAUUCUCAGUGUCAAGCUCACUGUGCUGCAACUGAAGCAGCGCUGUCUUUACCGGAUUAGGAUGGAUGGAUGAGCCUAUGACAGAUGCUUGUUCUUGGACAGGUUGUGUUAGCCAGGUGCUGGGAUGCAAUGUUGGACGGUGAUGUGCUCACAUGGAACAGGUUGUUGU